AUCUAUAGCCAACCCACCCUGAAUGCACCAGAUCGCAGAAGCUAAGCAGGGAAGGGCCUUGUUAGUACUUGGAUCGGAGAAGGGAGGUAGAGGCAGGAUU
rnacentral:rRNA from 1 species